GAUUCUUGGUCAUUUAGAGGAAGUAAAAGUCGUAACAAGGUCUCCGUUGGUGAACCAGCGGAGGGAUCAUUACAGAGUUGCAAAACUCCCUAAACCAUUGUGGACGCUACCUUUUAACGUUGCUUCGGCGGGCGGCCCGCUCCCCUGGAAAGCCCCUGUGGCCGCCCGGGGCUGCGAGCCCCCCGGCCCCCCUCGCGGGGGCGCCCGCCGGAGGAUACCCAACUCUUGAUUAUUUUAGGCCUCUCUGAGUCUUCUGUACUGAAUAAGUCAAAACUUUCAACAACGGAUCCCUUGGUUCUGGCAUCGAUGAAGAACGCAGCGAAAUGCGAUAAGUAAUGUGAAUUGCAGAAUUCAGUGAAUCAUCGAAUCUUUGAACGCACAUUGCGCCCGCCAGUAUUCUGGCGGGCAUGCCUGUUCGAGCGUCAUUUCAACCAUCAAGCCCCAGGCGUCAGGGGGUUUAUCUCCUCCGCUUAUUGAUAUGCACAUCACCAUACAAUUGGUAUCAGAGCAUGUUACUUCCUCUAAAUGACCAARCUCCCUGUGUGAAUACCCAACUCUUGAUUAUUUUAGGCCUCUCUGAGUCUUCUGUACUGAAUAAGUCAAAACUUUCAACAACGGAUCCCUUGGUUCUGGCAUCGAUGAAGAACGCAGCGAAAUGCGAUAAGUAAUGUGAAUUGCAGAAUUCAGUGAAUCAUCGAAUCUUUGAACGCACAUUGCGCCCGCCAGUAUUCUGGCGGGCAUGCCUGUUCGAGCGUCAUUUCAACCAUCAAGCCCCAGGCUUGUGUUGGGGACCUGCGGCUGCCGCAGGCCCUGAAAUCCAGUGGCGGGUUCGCUGUCACCCCGAGCGUAGUAGCAAUAUCUCGCUCAGGGCGUGCUGCGGGCACCGGCCGUUAAAAGCUGCCUUCUGGCAACACCCAAGGUUGACCUCGGAUCAGGUAGGAAGACCCGCUGAACUUAAGCAUAUCAAUAAGCGGAGGA
rnacentral:rRNA from 1 species